UACGUAGGGGGCAAGCGUUGUCCGGAUUUAUUGGGCGUAAAGAGCAUGUAGGCGGUUUGGUAGGUCCGCUGUGAAAACUCGAGGCUCAACCUCGAGACGCCGGUGGAAACCAUCAGGCUAGAGUCCGGAAGAGGAGAGUGGAAUUCCUGGUGUAGCGGUGAAAUGCGCAGAUAUCAGGAAGAACACCCGUGGCUAAGGCGGCUCUCUAGUACGGUACUGACGCUGAGACGCGAAAGCGUGGGGAGCGAACAGG
rnacentral:rRNA from 1 species